rnacentral:rRNA from 1 species
AUUGAACGCUGGCGGCAUGCCUUACACAUGCAAGUCGAACGGCAGCGCGGGGCAACCUGGCGGCGAGUGGCGAACGGGUGAGUAAUAUAUCGGAACAUACCCUAGAGUGGGGGAUAACGUAGCGAAAGUUACGCUAAUACCGCAUACGCACUAAGGUGGAAAGUGGGGGAUCUUCGGACCUCAUGCUCAUGGAGUGGCCGAUAUCUGAUUAGCUAGUUGGUGAGGUAAAGGCUCACCAAGGCGACGAUCAGUAGCUGGUUUGAGAGAACGGACCAGCCUCACUGGAACUGAGACACGGUCCAGACUCCUACGGGAGGCAGCAGUGGGGAAUUUUGGUACAAUGGGGGCAACCCUGAUCCAGCAAUGCCGCGUGA